rnacentral:lncRNA from 1 species
UUCGAAGAGGGGAGGCGGCGACCGGAAAAAGACUAAGAGCGGCUGUGAAGCACGGCGGACUGGAGGCUCUGCGGAAAAGCACGACGCUGGUGUAGAUUGUAUCGGACGGCGCAGCGCGGUUUGAUUAGAUUAAUGCGGUGGACGAUUGGCUUUGGAAUAAAUCAAUGUAAGAGAAACUAUGGGUUAGGGUUUGCCGAUGAGAGUGAGGAUCAUAAACUUGAUUCGGAGAUAAUGGAUUGAGUUGGAGAAGAAUUAGAACUUUAAUUAAUUUU